AUGGAAAUGAGGAUCUCCACUCAGCUCCUGGGCCUCCUGCUGUUCUGGCUCCAAGGUGUCAGAUGUGACAUCCAGAUGACUCAGACUCCAUCUUCCUUGCCUGCAUCUGUGGGAGACACAGUCACUAUCAAGUGUAAGGCCAGUCAAGGUAUAAGCAAUGUUUUAAACUGGUACCAACAGAAACCAGGGAAAGCUCCUCAAAUGCUGAUCUAUGAUGCAACCAGUUUGGGAUCUGGGGUUCCUUCGAGGUUCAGUGGCAGUGGAUUUGGGACAGAUUUCACUCUUGCCAUCAGUAGCCUACAGCCUGAAGAUGUUGCUACCUAUUACUGUCAACAUGUUUAUGGUACCCCUCCCACAUGGGGAGGUGGGCGCACAGUGUCCCUGAGGCCCAGCUUAUCUGGAACUGCACAGUUCUGA